rnacentral:rRNA from 1 species
UACGUAGGGUGCGAGCGUUAAUCGGAAUUACUGGGCGUAAAGCGUGCGCAGGCGGCGGCUCAAGUCAGGUGUGAAAUCCCCGGGCUUAACCUGGGAAUUGCGCUUGAAACUAGGUUGCUAGGGUGUGGCAGAGGAGACUGGAAUUCAUGGUGUAGCAGUGAAAUGCGUAGAGAUCAUGAGGAAGACCAGUGGCGAAGGCGGGUCUCUGGACAGUUCCUGACGCUGAGGCACGAAGGCCAGGGGAGCAAACGGG